rnacentral:lncRNA from 1 species
UUUUUUUUUUUUUUUUUUUGGUGCUUUUGCCUUUUCUAGGGCCGCUCCCAUGGCACAUGGAGGUUCCCAGGCUAGGGGUCCAAUGGGAGCUGUAGCCUCAGGCCUACGCCAGAGCCACAGCCACAGCAACGUGGGAUCAGAGCCGUGUCUGCAGCCUACACCACAGCUCACGGCAACGCCGGAUCCUUAACCCACGGAGCGAGGCCAGGGAUCGAACCCGUAACCUCAUGGUUCCUAGUUGGAUUCCUUAACCACUGAGCCACGAUGGGAGCUCCCUAUUGUUGAGUAAUAUUCUUUUCUAGGAAAGUUAUUUUGACGGGGAGUGGGGAGCUAUGCAACAUUAUUCUAAAAUUCACCUGGUAGAACAGACAUAAAAGAACCAUAUAAGAACAUUUUUAAAGAGAAGAAACAUUAGUGGAGAGUAUUCCAAGCUAUUAUUAAGAUGCAACCAUUAACUAUGAUUAACCAGGCUAGAAGCAAAUGUAUGUAAAACAAAUGUGUGUGAAAGGGAUUUUUAAAUCACAGGGGAAGAACAGUUGCUUUGACAAAUGCUAUCUGAAAACUAGUUAAGAUUAACACAUAUAUAAUAAUAUACAUAUAUAAACUUAUCAACAGAAAAACUAUAAAAGUAAGAAACAUUUUCAUAAUGUUGAGGCAUCUGAGAACUAUGUGAAUAUUUAGCUAAUGGCAGAAUCCAGAUAGUAAUAGAGUAAGUACAACCACAUAAAAAUUAGAAAACUCUUUGGGAGGUCCCUUUGUGGCUCAGCAGUUAACAAACCCAACUAGGAUCCAUGAGGAUGCGGGUUCGAUCCCUGGCCUCGCUCCAUGGGUUAAGGAUCCAGCCUUUCUGUGAACUGUGGUGUGGGUCACAGACUUGGCUCAGAUCCUGUGUUGCUGUGGCUGUGGUACAGGACGGCAGCUGCAGCUCUGAUUCAACGCAUAGCCUGGGAACUUCCAUAUGCCACAGGUCCGGCCCUAAAAAAAAAAAAACAAAAAAAAAAAUAAAAAAAAAAAAAAUAAAAACUCUUUGACCCUCUGGAAAGGCCAAGGGCAGAUGACAAGAAGAACUAACAUAAUCCAUAUGUAACAAGCUCUUUAAAAUUAUUUCCCAUGCACGAAUUUCCAAGUUGAAAAUUGGUCCUCAUAUACAGAUUUAAAUACACAGCAGAAGAAAUGCAAAUGCGUUAAAUAAGAAGAAGAAAAGAUGUUCAGAUUCUCUGUUGAUGAAAUAACUUUUGCAGCGAGGAUAAGGCAUUCGGGUUUCCCUGUGAGAGUGACUCGGGGCUAUUACGGGACUUAGCAGGGGAUGGGGGGCAUCGCAGUGGCCAGCUUGGGCAAGAAUGGAAGCGGGAAGCUGCUUGGGGCUGGGGCUUCUUGACAUAAUCGUGUCCAGACAAAGAGAGUGGGAGAGGCGGCUGAGCCUGGGUGAUGGCAACUAGGACAGAUAAAAAUGGGGGGGUUCAGACCGUAUCCGGAGAGUGAGUCGGAGGAUUUUCCAUGAUGGGCCUUCGCCUAGGAGAAGGCCGUAACCCCGGCCUCAGUUUGUCUAACAAAGGAGGCUCUGGUGGUCUCUGCACUGCCUAGCCUGAGGCCAGGGACCUUGUCCUCCGGGGUGUCCCCCUCCCUGGACAGCUGCCCUGACUGGCAGAGAGGACCCUGGUCUGUGAAUACCGACUGGAGGAGCUAUUCUGAUCGCCCUAAAACAUUCAGAUCUAAAGUGGGGAAAUCUGCAGGACAUUUGACCAGACUUAUUCCACAAUAAAGUGUCCACACAUCAGAAAAUGUAAUGUCCCUUGAUUUAUCUUCCUCCAUAGGGAGCCCUUGUGGAGGCGCCAGGCACGGCUCAAUACUGUAUAAAAAAAUAAGCACACAGUGAACGUCCCUGCCUUCCAGAACCUUCUGGACAAGAGAAGCAUGCCCUUGAGAUCUGUAACAAAAUUGUGCAGGGGAGGAAGUGCCCAACGGCCUGGGGGCAUCUAGGCGGGCUCCUGAGGGUGUGGCAGAGGAGUCGUCAGUGGGACCUUCGAGAAGUUACCCCCCUGGACUGUGGACGCUGUGCGGAACCCCUCACUUUAUCCUCACAACCAGAGGGCAGACAUGCCCUCAUGAGCACGAUUCAGAUGAGAUGAAGCCUCAGGAAUGUCCAAGCUCCCAAGAGUGAGUUUUAGAGCUGGAGGUCACUCCCAGGCCUACCCUGGAGCCCGCUCUCUUAGCCACGCAUCUACACCAGGUUUCACCCUUGAAAUGGAUGAGAGUUCUCAAGAUGGACCAGAGGGGAGUGUUCCAGACCAAAGGGCCACGGUGGAGGACCCAGGUGAGCCACGAGCUCUGUGCAUGGGAGCAGGUGAGAAGUAUGGCUGGGCAAGGAGAAGACCAGUGCUGAUGGCUCUGGAGACAUUUUGGGGUGUGGCCUCCUGCACAGAGACCUGGGAAUGCUGCUGGCCCGAGUUGGGGAGGUCAUCCAUGGACUCAGCUCUCAUGGGACAUGGCCUUGGUGGCAAGGACGAGUUCAGACUGGAGGAGAGGGCAUGCUAAUGGGGCUGGGGGUGGGAUGGUCCAGAGCCUGCAGAGGACCUGGCCAGGCAGGAACCCAGGGGACUCCACAGCCCCUGGUGGUGGUGGUGGGGGUUCCUGCACCUGUGUGGUGUCCAGGCCUCAAAACAUGGAGAAAAGGGAUAAAAGACAGGACAGACCACACCUUCCACCCUUGAGCUGAAGCAGGGAGAGAAGGCAGGUGGGAGGGGAGGAAGGAAACUUCCCGAAUGUGGCCAACAUUUGCUUAAUCCUCUAUGGAGGAAAAAAAAAGCCAGACCAAUUGAGCGUAUAAUAUUGACGCUCGUCCCUUGGGCAAAAGUCACACCUAAGCCCAUAUGUUUUAACAAAUUAAGAGGUAAAUAAUUUACUGAAGGUA